UUUCCCCAGACUUCUCUGCAAGGAGGGGUGGUAAGCAAAGUCUGCUGAUGCAGGGGGCAAGUUUCUAGGAUUUUUUUUUUUUUUUCUCCCUAUAAGAGGAGAGGGGCUUCCCAGGUGGCACAGUGGGAAAGAAUCUACCUGCCAAGGCAAGAGAGGCAAAUUCAAUCCCUGGGUGGGGAAGAUGCCCUGGCUAGGAAAGGGCAACCCACUCCAGUAUUCUUGCCUGGAAAAUUCCGUGGACAGAGGAGUCUGGUGGGCUACAGUCUAUGGGGUCGCAAAGAGUCUGACAGGACUGAACACGCCCGCACACACGCAGACACAAACACGAAAGGGCAGGAAGACUGAAGAAGGGUUCCUCUCGGAGUUCUGACCAGCUCGCGGCUUCCUGCUUUUGGAUGCGGUUAUAGUGGGAUGAGAGAGCAGGAGUCAGGGGUGCAAUAACGCGAGUGAGGCUUGUGAAAUUCAGGGGUGGUAGUGGGAGUCUCGGGGCGGGACCUGGCCGGGGUAUGGAGGACGUGGAGGUGCUGUCGUCGAGGACGCUGGGUGAUCGCCGAUAGGAGAUGAGCGGCACAACAGAACGGAUGCGCCCGACUCCCCAUUUCCUCUACUAGGGUGGCCUUUCUCACUCCUGGGGGCGUCGGCGGGCCACAUUCUGGGGCGUGGCCAGCCGGACUUGAAAACCCCGACUGUUUGGGGGCGGGGCCGCUCCCUCGGGGCGUGGCCUGUGGAACCUCGGAAUCCCGGCGACUCGGGGCCGGGGCUCGCGUCUCCCGGCGCGGGGUUCCUCCCACGCAGCUUCCUAUUCAAACGAUGCCGAAGGGGCGGCGCGGCAGCCAGAGCCCCACGAUGAGCCAGCGACCGGCUCCGCCCCUCUACUUCCCAUCCCUCUACGACCGCGGCAUCUCCUCGUCGCCGCUCAGCGACUUCAACAUCUGGAAGAAGCUCUUCGUGCCGCUGAAGGCUGGAGGGGCGCCGGCGGCGGGGGGCCGGUCCCUGCCCCAGGCGCCCUCGGCCGCAGCGCCCCCGCCGCCGCCAGGCCUGGGUCCCCCUAGUGAGCGCCCUUGUCUCCCGCCCUGGCCCUCCGGCCUGGCCUCCAUCCCCUACGAGCCUCUGCGCUUCUUUUACUCCCCACCGCCGGGGCCCGAGGCAGCGGCCUCCCCGCUGGUUCCCGGCCCCACGACCUCCCGGCUAGCCUCUGCCGCCCACCCCGAGGACCUGUGUGAGCUGGAGAUCCGGAUUAAGGAGCUGGAGCUGCUCACCAUAACUGGGGACGGCUUCGACUCCCAGCGCUGUGCGUGACCCCGGCGCCUUAGCCUGCCUUGGCUCCCUCUUUGGCUCCGUGGCCCCUGAGCCCCUCACCCGCAAUGUGGCCUUUAGGCUCAGACUCCAGUUCCCAGAUAAAUUCUUGAAGGCGCUGAAGGAUGAAAAGUUACAAGGCCUGAAGACCAGGCAGCCUGGGAAGAAGUCGGCCUCUCUCUCCUGAGGAGCUGCGCACCAGAGCCUGGCAGCCGCCUCCUUAGGCGUUAGUGCUUAGAUAAUGUGUCCCGUUUGUUGUCAUUUCAAAGAUCGUUAUUUUCUGUUCUGUAUUUACUGCUGUUCUCGUUGCUCCCAGCACGUGCUCCACAUACAGUGCCCACUUGCAUGG